UAGGGAGUAGUUCUGAUGCUUUGAUUGGGAAUCUGCGUGUGAACACCAGAAGGUCCUGUUCCCCGAUUGGUUCUUGAUUGAUCAAUAAAGAUGCUAGUGACCAAUGGCUGGGCAGAAGAGGCGGGACUUCCAGGUUCUUGUAGGCAGGCUAGGAGACACAGAACAGGAAAGAAUAUUCGCAAUGCUUAGGAGGGUGAGAAAGGGAGAGAGCGAGCCACCAGUUAUGUGAGGUCUUGUGUGGAGUGGCCAUUGGCCGCUUCCCUGAUGGGGCCUGGGGUAGCAGGUGGGAGAUUAGAAACGUAACUAAGCUGAGGACAGAUUUACAGAGGUUGAGCUGGGAAUGAAGAGGUUGCUUCUCGGCAAGGGUUCCUGGGAUGCUGCCACAGUUCUGGACAUCACAAAGACCAUCACGCUCAGCUUAGCUAAGGAUUGCAUAACUUCUAACAGGAAGGACAUUUUUAUUUCCUCAAGUGACAGCCAACCUUAGAACUGAAACAUGACUUUGAUAACUGUUUUUAAAACUUGUUGCCCAAAUUCUGGAGUCACUCCCCAGUGACAAAGUCAAUCAAGGUUCAGGAAAGGAGGCAAGGAGUUUGGGAUGAAAUCCCAGAAAGGCACGAAUAUACUCUGUCUUCACUGUGGCUAUACUGUCAGGUUUAUCUGAAAACCAUCCUGACAUCUCCUACAAACAGGAAAAAACAAGGAAACCUGAAGCACUGGCCCCCAUGAUCUCUGCUCUUGCAUCUGCUUUCUUUACCCCAGGCUUCAAGGCUGGUGUCCAGUUGGAAUCACUCUGCUGGUUCACUUCUUAGGAACAUGAAACAAGGAACAGAAUUUAUCAGAGUCCCGCUAAAACUUCUGAGCUGGAGCCAGACAGGGUCAGGGUUUUAUUUGACACACCAAGCAAAAUGAUGCCAACAUGCCGGUCUGUGGUCAAAGAGCAUCACCAACACCACCACCAUCACCAUCAUCACCAUCGUCACCAUCACCACCAUCACCAUCGUCACCAUCAUCACCAUCAGCAGCUGGAUGGGAAGCAGGGCAGAGAAUGUACAGAACGGGUGGUAAAAAUCACCCUAUUGCCUCCUUCCCUACAUGGAGUGGGUUUCAAACUUAUCCCAGCUCAGGACAUCUGUUCUUUCUGUCUGUCUUCUUCGGUCACAUUUCCUGUGACUUCUGAUAAGCCAGUUCCACCCUGAAUAAAAGGCCCCUUUGAAGGAGUAAGGUGUGGCUGAUCAGACCAUCUUAUGAACUGCCUUCAUUAAUUUUCUUCAAACUGCUUCUCUGAAACAAGCCUUCCAUAUCUGCUUGCUUGCUUCUGAUUAUUGCUCUCCUCCAUCCCAGAUAUUGAUCUUUGGUGGUUUGGAUUCAAGCCCCUCGAGAGAAGACUGAAUCGGUCACUGCAAUAUUGUCAGUAGAACACGUGGUCUUCUAACUAUUGGAGAUGUUAUUGGGGAACCCUGCUUUCGGCUGAACAGCCCCAAGGAUCAUGUUGGCUGUGAUCUACUCUGGCCUUCCAAGGCACAUUCAAGACCUUAUUGUGAUUCCUGAUC
rnacentral:lncRNA from 1 species